AAUGAGAGAAGAGAUGUGAAAUUUAAUCAAAUCAGAGUGACCGUGAAAGACCAACGUUUUGAGUUGAUUCAGGGCAUCAAGGCAGCUAAGACAGCACAACUAAAGGUGCUCAGAAGAGGACUCCCAGAAUUUCAGAAUGUGGUAAGAACAAAGGGCUGUGUGAGCAGUUGGAACAGAUGCUUCAAAAUUGAACUGUCAGGAAUUUGGACUCCGAACAGAAGGAGGCCUCGUGAUUACCUUGAAUGGAAAUGGGGCUCCCUGGUAGCCUCGCUGCCUGUUCUGGGAUGUCACCAUUCUACUUUUUUCUAAGUUAGCAACAACUCACGAUGAAUUUGUGCCUCUACCUCCUCUACUUCAGCCUUAUUUAUAACACCAAAAGUAAGUGAAUAUGUGUGGGACUGAAAUAAAUUAUCACUGAA
ensembl:lincRNA